rnacentral:rRNA from 1 species
UGAUACUUUAUUACAUUUCUAGUGGCGACGGGUGAGUAACACGUUGGAACCUGCCCCCAAAAGGUGAGGGAAUAAGCCACCGAAAAGGUGGUCUAAUACUUCAUAAUAUCCAUCUCGUAUGGAUUAAAGCUUUAUGCGCUUUGGGAGGGGCCUGCGUAACAUUAGCUUGUUGGUGAGGGUAAAAAGCUUCACCAAGGCUUCGAUGUUUAACUGGUUUGAGAGGAUGACCAGUCACACUGGGACUGAGAUACGGCCCAGACUCCUACGGGAGGCAGCAGUAAGGAAUCUUCCACAAUGGGGCAACCCUGAUGGAGCAAUACCGCGUGCAGGAUGAAGCGUUUCGGCGUGUAAACUGCUUUUAUCACCGAAGAUUAUGACUGUAGGUGAAGAAUAAGGACCGGCUAACUACGUG